UACGUAGGGUGCAAGCGUUGUCCGGAAUUAUUGGGCGUAAAGAGCUCGUAGGCGGUUCGUCGCGUCGAAUGUGAAAACCCGGGGCUCAACUCCGGGCCUGCAUUCGACACGGGCGGACUAGAGUUCGGUAGGGGAGACUGGAAUUCCUGGUGUAGCGGUGAAAUGCGCAGAUAUCAGGGGGAACACCGGUGGCGAAGGCGGGUCAGCUGGGCCGAUACUGACGGCUGAGGAGCGAAAGCGUGGGGAGCGAACAGG
rnacentral:rRNA from 1 species